GCCAGGCGUUGUGGCGGGCGCCUGUGGUCCCAGCUACUUGGGAGGCGGAGGCAAGAGACUCGCUUGAGCCCAGGAGUUGGAGGUUGCUGUGAGCUGUAAUGCCAGGGCACUCUACCCAGGGGGACAGCUUGAGGCUCUGUCUCAAAAAAAAAAAAAAAAAAAACAAAAAAACAAAAAAAAAAAAAUAAAUCUGAACUCCAUAAGAAAUAGACCCAGCUUGACAGAACACAUAUAAAAGCCCUGAAUAUGACCUUUUUUUUUUUUUUAAGAUGGAGUCUCAAGCUGUUCCCCUGGGUAGAGUGCCGUGGCAUUACAGCUCACAGCAACCUCCAACUUCUGGGCUCAAGCGAGUUUCCUGCCUCAG
rnacentral:SRP_RNA from 1 species